UACAGAGGGUGCGAGCGUUAAUCGGAAUUACUGGGCGUAAAGAGCGCGCAGGCGGUCGUUCAAGUCGAGUGUGAAAGCCCCCGGCUCAACUGGGGAGGGUCAUUCGAUACUGAUCGACUCGAAGGCAGGAGAGGGUAGUGGAAUUCCCGGUGUAGUGGUGAAAUGCGUAGAUAUCGGGAGGAACACCAGUGGCGAAGGCGACUACCUGGCCUGUUCUUGACGCUGAGGCGCGAAAGCUAGGGGAGCAAACGGG
rnacentral:rRNA from 1 species